GAUGAAGGACGUAGCGAAAUGCGAUACGUAAUGUGAAUUGCAGAAUUCAGUGAAUCAUCGAAUCUUUGAACGCAUAUUGCGCUCUCUGGUAUUCCGGAGAGCAUGCUUGUUUGAGUAUCAGUAAACACCUCAACUUCCAUAUCUUUUUUGAAAUGGGAGUUGGACUUGAGUGAUCCCAACGCUUUUCCUCACCGAAAAGUGGCGGGUUACUUGAAAUGCAGGUGCAGCUGGACUUUUCUCUGAGCUAUAAGCAUAUCUAUUUAGUCUGCCUAAAAACAGAUUAUUACCUUUGCUGCAGCUAACAUAAAGGAGAUUAGUUCUUGUGCUGACUGAUGCAGGAUUCACAAAGACAGGCUUCGGCCGACUUUGUAAACUCGAUCUCAAAUCAAGUAAGACUACCCGCUGAACUUAAGCAUAUCAAUAAGCGGAGGA
rnacentral:misc_RNA from 1 species